GUUAUAUAGUCAAGCAACUAAGCGCAUACGGUGGAUGCCUUGGCAGUCAGAGGCGAUGAAAGACGUGGAAGCCUGCGAUAAGGUUCGGGGAGCUGGCAAACGAGCUGUGAUCCGGACAUCUCUGAAUGGGGAAACCCACCGACUUUCGGGUCGGUAUCUUGUACUGAAUCCAUAGGUGCAAGAGGCGAACCGGGGGAACUGAAACAUCUAAGUACCCCGAGGAAAAGAAAUCAACCGAGAUUCCCUAAGUAGCGGCGAGCGAACGGGGACCAGCCCUUAAGCUGGACAACUGGUAGGAGAAGGCUCUGGAAAGUGCCGCCAUAGUGGGUGAUAGCCCCGUAUCCGAAACCUGAGUCCAGUGAAAUCGAGUAGGUCGGCGCACGAGAAACGUUGACUGAACAUGGGGGGACCAUCCUCCAAGGCUAAAUACUCCUGACUGACCGAUAGUGAACCAGUACCGUGAGGGAAAGGCGAAAAGAACCCCUGUGAGGGGAGUGAAAUAGACCCUGAAACCGUAUGCGUACAAGCAGUCGGAGCAGACUUGUUCUGUGACGGCGUACCUUUUGUAUAAUGGGUCAGCGACUUAUGUUCAGUGGCGAGGUUAACCGUUUAGGGGAGCCGUAGGGAAACCGAGUCUGAAUAGGGCGAAUUAGUCGCUGGGCAUAGACCCGAAACCGGGCGAUCUAUCCAUGAGCAGGUUGAAGGUGCCGUAACAGGCACUGGAGGACCGAACCCACUGUCGUUGAAAAGCCAGGGGAUGACUUGUGGAUCGGAGUGAAAGGCUAAUCAAGCCCGGAGAUAGCUGGUUCUCCCCGAAAGCUAUUUAGGUAGCGCCUCGGACGAAUACCACAGGGGGUAGAGCACUGUUUCGGCUAGGGGGUCAUCUCGACUUACCAACCCGAUGCAAACUCCGAAUACCUGUGAGUACUAUCCGGGAGACACACGGCGGGUGCUAACGUCCGUCGUGAAGAGGGAAACAACCCAGACCGCCAGCUAAGGUCCCAAAGUACCAGUUAAGUGGGAAACGAUGUGGGAAGGCUCAGACAGCUAGGAGGUUGGCUUAGAAGCAGCCAUCCUUUAAAGAAAGCGUAAUAGCUCACUAGUCGAGUCGGCCUGCGCGGAAGAUGUAACGGGGCUCAAACUGGUCACCGAAGCUGCGGCUGCAUACAUUGUAUGCGGGGUAGGGGAGCGUUCUGUAAGCCUGCGAAGGUGUGUUGAGAAGCAUGCUGGAGGUAUCAGAAGUGCGAAUGCUGACAUGAGUAACGACAAUGCGGGUGAAAAACCCGCACGCCGGAAGACCAAGGGUUCCUGCGCAACGCUAAUCGGCGCAGGGUGAGUCGGCCCCUAAGGCGAGACCGAAAGGUGUAGUCGAUGGGAAACGGGUUAAUAUUCCCGUACCUUGGAUAGCUGCGAUGGAGAGACGGAGAAGGCUAGGUGAGCCGGGCGACGGUUG
rnacentral:rRNA from 2 species